AACCUGUUAACAGCCACCCCACUAGAUGAGCUUAAACUCAAAUAUGGUACAUUCUUAUUAAAAUAACUACAGUAAAUGAACGCUUUGGACUAGAGACAUCAGUGUGGUCUUGUUUAAAAGAAGAAAACUGUAGGAUUGCUCUUCAGGUAUCAGAAUUUAUUAUAGAAACAGAGAAAAAGAGCAACAGAAGCUUCAAUAUUUGGAAAUGGUAAUAAUCAAUUUAUUUGAAUAAAUUAUGUUUAAGAAAAUAAAUAAAGGACACUGUGCCAGAAUAACCAAAAAACAAUGAUGUCAAAGCCACAUGUCAGACCCAAUUUUAAUUCAAUUUUUAAGAUAAUAGCACUAAAAAUUGUAUUACUGCUAACUUUUUAUUUACAGAAUUUAAAAACGAUUGAAAAGCUCGCUUGGGCCAUUCAAAUUGUAAUAUGGUCAUAAUAAGAUGAAACACGGUGUAAUAUUUUUACGUUGUUUAUUUUAUAUAAGAACAGAUGUUGUAGCUUUCAUUUAUGGACAUCGAAACAGUCGGACUUUUGUCUAAAUCACUUAAAUUUUAUCUCAAAGCGCAAUAGUAGAUGUGAAGUUAAAAGUGACAGAAUGUUUCUGUAUACAUUGUUCGUCCUGCUCUUCUGCUCUCGGGUUAUUCUCAGAUGUUUGACUCAUAUGUUCAGAUCUGUAAUAUCCCUCUAUUCUCAUUUACUCGACUGUAAUAGGCCCGGUGAACAGUAAACGGCAUUGUAAACGUCUUUUCAAAUAGUUACACACAUUUAGCUCUGAGUUCAUUCUGGUAUGGAAUGCCUCUCUUACCCUCCUAUAAUCUCCCAGUUUAUGAAAAUAUGCCUUUUCCUACAUUAUUUCUCAGUGACCAUUCAGUUUUACUCAGGAAUGUCACAUUAGUCAGUAAAAUGAGUUGUGAAUGCAGUUUAAGAGUUUACUUUGGACUUUAAAAAGUUAAAAUGCCAAGCAUGUCAUUUAUAAAAUUAUUUUCAUGAAAUACCUUCUUCUAUCCAGUCUUAACAUAGAGAGCAUAUUAUGAAGUCAUUUUAGACCGAUUUUCCAUAAAAAAGUUAGCCCUGCUUAAUAGUCCUGUUUACAGGAAUCUGAGCAGAACAACAUAGCAACGUUAAUCUAAUGACUAUAAGAGUUCUAUAUGAUUGCCCGGCACGAAGAAAAUAGGAAAACUGUUUGAAAACAGCCAUUAUUCGUGUAAUUUUUAUGUGGUGAUGCGGGUGGUGCAGAAAUUACACAUUUCACCUUUAAUAAAAAUAAUAAAACUUUUAAGAUUCUUCAAAACAAACUGUUCUGCUGUAAAGCUACACGUGGCUAAUUUCAAACUAUACAUUUCAUAAAUUAAAAUAAAAAAAAUCCGUACCAUUUUCGUAAUCGUCUAUUCAGUGGCUACAUUUGACGUCCAUCAAACCUUCGCGAGCUCUGCACUGGCAGACUGUGCGCAGUGGAAAAAAAGUUUGCGCAUGUGCUGACGUCACACGCGCUCGGUGCGCUGUUUGGAUGUUUUGACUGACUGACAAAAAAGCGCAGCCAAUUGUACGAUGUGGGUGGGUCUUAUGUAUUCCUAAGACUUGAAUGAACACUGUAACAUCGCGCUUGACUACCUAAGCGUUUAGCAGCGUGCGUAGUUUACAGGAAAUCCCUGAAGAAUGCGCGUUCUUUCUUAAGGAAUUCAAAGAAAACACAACAUACUUUGUUGAGAGUUUCCUUAAGUUGUCUGUUUUUUGGACCAAGUUCCUGCGUGAUGUGUGUUCUGGGUCUCUGCCAUGAAAGCUACGCAGAACUUUGUAAAUCUGGGUUAUUUUGUGCAUCGUUAUUGAACAAAAGUGUUAAGAGCUCCCCGGUGUAAUGUUGCGUUAUUUAAGAAAGCUGGCGAUCGUACUAUAUCAAAGUAUCAAACAUAUGCUUUCAUUAUAACAAUACGACCAUACAUACAGAAUUCCGACGCUCAGACCUUUUCAAUGACGUAUUGUUGGUAAAUAACAAUGAAAAACCCGACGGUGAAUGUACGCGGUAAAUGUAAACAAACUCACAUAUGAACCGUGUACGGUCUGAAACAAGUUAUAGGAUUAACUCACUCGAGCGUCCCAAACAUCGAUGUAAAUCGUCGAACCGGAGAUCUGAAUAUCACGAACAUCAGAAUGGAUCAGUCUGGAGUUUAUCAAAUCAUCGGCAAAGGUUUGCAGAGGACAUUCCGUGUUAAUGUUAAGGUCAUUCCAGAACCUGUCCAGAGUAUAGACUGGAUGAAAAUUGCAUUAUGGGUAGCAGUACUGGUGCUGGUGAUAGCCCUGGUUUCAGUUAUAAUGUACUACAAAAGGUGCUGCAGGAGGGGAUUGAAUAAAAAAGAAGAGAAUGAGACCUGUGAACGAUUAAACCAGCAGUCCUUCAACACCAACGGUACAUAGACACUCAAUACAGUAUAUAACUAAUAAAGUGUUGACUUCAAACACAUAAAAAACCGUCUGUGAAAUCAUCUGUGAAACAAAUGUUGACACAGUUCAUUUGCUCUGGUGUAAACAGACAAACAUGCUCUUAUUUUAAAAUGUGAUCAAAUCGUUUGCCUUUUGCACUGUAUGGAGCAGGGCUGCAAUGAUGCACAACUCAUGUUGUGAAUACCAAACAAUAUGUUUACUUUAAAGUGCCUGCUUUUCAAUUCUAAACAUAUUUUCAGGUACAAAUCUUGUUUUUAAGUUAUUAAACUGUUCUGUUUCAAAUCUCAGUUUAAAUAGACAUUGGGUGCAGCAAUUAAAAACAUGCUCAUGUUCAGAAUCAGAUGUGUAUCAUUGGAGAGGAUGGAGUCCACUGUUAUAAGGGCUCAUUUUUUAUAAUUUUUUUAUUUGUUAUGUUGUGCAUUCUGCAUCAGUUUGUUCAACAUGUUUAAAUGUUUGUAUAUUUAUUAACAUUUUACACCUUAUGCUGGAGUACUGAAUGACCAAAGGCCAAAAACAGCAACUGCAAAUAUAACAUGGCGUUAUUUUCUGGGUGUUAAAUGUGAAAUUAAAUCAAUACCUCACUCUUGUUCUGUGUAUAUAUGAGGAAAAUUGAGGAUAUAUUGAUGCUCUGCUGUAUACACGAUGAUCUAACGUAACUGAAUCUUUACUGCUCUCUAGUGGACAAAUACUGACAUGAAAUGAACAUUUAAAAUGUGAAAUAAAGUAAAUUUAAGCUUAAGUUAAACCAACAUUAUAUGUGAAUGAGUCAUCUGAAGUCAAAUAAAAUAAGGUGUGUGUGUGCGUGCGUGCGUGCGUGCGUGUGUGUUAAACUUUAAAGUGGCGUUGCG